CCUACGGGUGGCUGCAGUGAGGAAUAUUGGUCAAUGGGCGGAAGCCUGAACCAGCCAAGUCGCGUGAGGGAUUAAGGCCCUGCGGGUCGUAAACCUCUUUUGCCGGGGAGCAGAGGUCCGGACGUGUCCGGGCCGGGAGAGUACCCGGGGAAAAAGCAUCGGCAAACUCCGUGCCAGCAGCCGCGGUAAUACGAGGGAUGCGAGCGUUAUCGGGUUUUAUUGGGUUUAAAGGGUGCGUGGGCGGGCAUUUAAGCCGUCGGUAAAAUGUCGGGGUACACCCCCAGACUGCAGUUGGUACUGGGUGCCUUGAGUGGGCGAGAGGUAUGCGGAAUGCGUGGUGUAGCGGUGAAAUGCAUAGAUAUCACGCAGAACCCCGAUUGCGAAGGCAGCAUACCGGCGCCCUACUGACGCUGAGGCACGAAAGUGCGGGUAUCGAACAGGAUUAGAUACCCCUGUAGUC
rnacentral:rRNA from 1 species